rnacentral:tRNA from 1 species
GGUAAAAUGGCUGAGUUUAGGCAUUAGACUGUAAAUCUAAAGACAGAGGGGGAAAAUCCUCUUUUUACCA